GAUCAUGGGCCAUCUGAGGAUUGGGCUGAGAAUUAGGGUUUCAUGAUUUUCAAGGGCAUUGGUCUUCAUAUUGAUUGAAUUGAUACAUCAUCAUCAUCAUGUUUGGGUGUCAUCAGAAGGUUGGAGAAGGUUCCUUGAGAUUAGGGUUUUGACCACUGGUCAACCCUAAUCAGUUGUAUUGGGCCAGGCUGGGCUGAAUCAGGAGAUGGGGUUUAUGAUGGAUAUGAGGUUCAUUUGGUGAUUAUAUUGUGUUUAUUGAGGCUAGGGUUUCACCCUGGAGCC
rnacentral:lncRNA from 1 species